AUUGAACGCUGGCGGCAUGCUUUACACAUGCAAGUCGAACGGUAACAGGGAGCUUGCUCCGCUGACGAGUGGCGAACGGGUGAGUAAUGCGUCGGAACGCACCGAGUAAUGGGGGAUAACGCAGCGAAAGCUGUGCUAAUACCGCAUACGCUCCGAGGAGGAAAGCGGGGGACCUUCGGGCCUCGCGUUAUUCGAGCGGCCGACGUCUGAUUAGCUAGUAGGUGAGGUAAGAGCUCACCUAGGCGACGAUCAGUAGCGGGUCUGAGAGGAUGAUCCGCCACACUGGGACGGAGACACGGCCCAGACUCCUACGGGAGGCAGCAGUGGGGAAUUUUGGACAAUGGGCGCAAGCCUGAUCCAGCCAUGCCGCGUGUCUGAAGAAAGCCUUCGGGUUGUAAAGGACUUUUGUCAGGGAGGAAAUCCUUAGCGCUAAUACCGUUGAGGGAUGACAGUACCUGAAGAAUAAGCACCGGCUAACUACGUGCCAGCCGCCGCAGUAAGAC
rnacentral:rRNA from 1 species